rnacentral:rRNA from 1 species
UGCCAGCAGCCGCGGUAAUACGGAGGGGGUUAGCGUUGUUCGGAAUUACUGGGCGUAAAGCGCAUGUAGGCGGAACAGAAAGUUAGAAGUGAAAUCCCUGGGCUCAACCUAGGAAUUGCUUUUAAAACUUCUGUUCUGGAAUUAAGGAGAGGAAAAUGGAAUAUCCAGUGUAGAGGUGAAAUUCGUAGAUAUUGGAUGGAACACCAGUGGCGAAGGCGAUUUUCUGGACUUAUAUUGACGCUGAGAGGCGAAAGCUAGGGGAGCAAAAGGGAUUAGAUA